GUGUGGUGCUAAAUCCUAAACUGAAAAUAGCUGGAAUUACAGUCAGAUUGUACAGUGGUGACAUUCGAUUUUCUCAAC
ensembl:snoRNA small nucleolar RNA SNORD65